UAGGCCUAAAAUAUCAACACA
rnacentral:piRNA from 1 species